GACUCUCGGCAACGGAUAUCUCGGCUCGCAUCGAUGAAGAACGUAGCGAAAUGCGAUACUUGGUGUGAAUUGCAGAAUCCCGUGAACCAUCGAGUCUUUGAACGCAAGUUGCGCCCGAGGCCUCCUGGUCGAGGGCACGUCUGCCUGGGUGUCA
rnacentral:rRNA from 1 species